rnacentral:rRNA from 1 species
CAGCCGCCACGGGAAUACGUAGGGUGCGAGCGUUAAUCGGAAUUACUGGGCGUAAAGCGUGCGCAGGCGGUUAUAUAAGACAGAUGUGAAAUCCCCGGGCUCAACCUGGGACCUGCAUUUGUGACUGUAUAGCUAGAGUACGGUAGAGGGGGAUGGAAUUCCGCGUGUAGCAGUGAAAUGCGUAGAUAUGCGGAGGAACACCGAUGGCGAAGGCAAUCCCCUGGACCUGUACUGACGCUCAUGCACGAAAGCGUGGGAAGCAAACAGGAUUAGAUACCCCCGUAGUCCCUGUCUCUUAUAC